UGAAUACGAGAUGCUACGGCGUCGAAGCAGUCUAUGUCAUACUUCCAAGAAAAGCUCGCACUGUCAUAAACAAAUAAUGCCUGUACCAUAACCGACACAGGUGGGUAGGUAGAGUAUACUAAGGGGCGCGAGAUAACUCUCUCUAAGGAACUCGGCAAAAUGACUCCGUAACUUCGGGAGAAGGAGUGCCUUAUUUAUAAGGUUGCAAUAACAAGAUCCAAGCAACUGUUUAUCAAAAACACAGGUCUCCGCUAAGUCGUAAGACGAUGUAUGGGGGCUGACGCCUGCCCAGUGCCAGAAGGUUAAAGAAGUUGGUUAGCAUUCGCGAAGCUGAUAACUGAAGCCCUGGUGAACGGCGGCCGUAACUAUAACGGUCCUAAGGUAGCGAAAUUCCUUGUCGGGUAAGUUCCGACCCGCACGAAAGGCGUAAUGAUUUGGAUACUGUCUCGGAGAGGGGCUCGGUGAAAUAGACUUGUCUGUGAAGAUGCGGACUACCUGCACCAGGACAGAAAGACCCUAUGAAGCUUUACUGUAACUUGAGAUUGAAAUUGGACUUUACUUGCGCAGUAUAGGUGGGAGGCGUUGAUAAUAUUCUUGCGGGAUUAUUUGAGCCAUCAGUGAGAUACCACUCUUGUAAUGUUAGAUUUCUAACUUUGUAUCAUUAUCUGGUCAAAGGACAGUUUCAGGCGGGCAGUUUGACUGGGGCGGUCGCCUCCUAAACGGUAACGGAGGCGCACAAAGGUUUCCUCUGAACGGGUAGAAAUCGUAUCUAGAGUAUAAAGGCAUAAGGAAGCUUGACUGUGAGACCUACAAGUCGAGCAGGGACGAAAGUCGGUCUUAGUGAUCUGACGGUGCUGAGUGGAAAGGCCGUCACUCAACGGAUAAAAGUUACUCUAAGGAUAACAGGCUGAUCUCCCCCAAGAGUUCACAUCGACGGGGAGGUUUGGCACCUCGAUGUCGGCUCAUCGCAUCCUGGGGCGGUAGUACGUCCCAAGGGUUGGGCUGUUCGCCCAUGAAAGCGGUACGCGAGCUGGGUUCAGAACGUCGUGAGACAGUUCGGUCCAUAUCCGGUGUAGGCGUUAGAAUAUUGAGAGGAGCCUUCUUUAGUACGAGAGGACCGAGAAGGACAUACCUCUGGUGUACCAGUUAUCGUGCCAACGGUAAACGCUGGGUAGCUAUGUAUGGAGUGGAUAACCGCUGAAAGCAUCUAAGUGGGAAGCCCACCUCAAGAUAAG
rnacentral:rRNA from 1 species